rnacentral:rRNA from 1 species
AAUGGGGGAAACCCUGACGCAGCAACGCCGCGUGGGUGAUGAAGGCCUUCGGGUCGUAAAGCCCUGUCGGGAGGGAAGAAAUGAUUGUGAGCUAAUACCUCGUGAUCUUGACGGUACCUCCGAAGGAAGCACCGGCUAACUCCGUGCCAGCAGCCGCGGUAAUACGGAGGGUGCAAGCGUUGUUCGGAAUUAUUGGGCGUAAAGCGCGUGUAGGCGGUUUCUUAAGUCUGAUGUGAAAGCCCCGGGCUCAACCUGGGAAGUGCAUUGGAAACUGGGGGACUUGAGUACGGGAGAGGGUAGUGGAAUUCCUAGUGUAGGAGUGAAAUCCGUAGAUAUUAGGAGGAACACCGGUGGCGAAGGCGGCUCUCUGGACCGAUACUGACGCUGAGACGCGAAAGCGUGGGUAGCAAA